rnacentral:rRNA from 1 species
AGAGUUUGAUCCUGGCUCAGAUUGAACGCUGGCGGCAUGCUUUACACAUGCAAGUCGAACGGCAGCGCGGGGGCAAUCCUGGUGGCGAGUGGCGAACGGGUGAGUAAUGUAUCGGAACGUGCCCAGUUGUGGGGGAUAACUACUUGAAAGAGUGGCUAAUACCGCAUACGACCUGAGGGUGAAAGCGGGGGAUCGCAAGACCUCGCGCAAUUGGAGCGGCCGAUAUCAGAUUAGCUAGUUGGCGGGGUAAAAGCCCACCAAGGCGACGAUCUGUAGCUGGUCUGAGAGGACGACCAGCCACACUGGGACUGAGACACGGCCCAUACUCCUACGGGAGGCAGCAGUGGGGAAUUUUGGACAAUGGACGCAAGUCUGAUCCAGCCAUGCCGCGUGCGGGAAGAAGGCCUUCGGGUUGUAAACCGCUUUUGUCAGGAAAGAAACGGCCUGGGAUAAUACCUUGGGCUAAUGACGGUACCUGAAGAAUAAGCACCGGCUAACUACGUGCCAGCAGCCGCGGUAAUACGUAGGGUGCAAGCGUUAAUCGGAAUUACUGGGCGUAAAGCGUGCGCAGGCGGUUAUGCAAGACAGAUGUGAAAUCCCCGGGCUCAACCUGGGAACUGCAUUUGUGACUGCAUAGCUAGAGUACGGUAGAGGGGGAUGGAAUUCCGCGUGUAGCAGUGAAAUGCAUAUAUAUGCGGAGGAACACCGAUGGCGAAAGCUUUCCGCUGUACUGUACUGACUCUCAUGCACGAAAGCGUGGGGAGCAAACAGAUAUGAUCCCCCUGGUCAGUCCACGCCCUAAACGAUGUCCAGUGGGUUGCUGGGGAGGGUUCUCUUGCACAGAAACGUUACUAACUCCUCGGUAUGUGAGCCGCUCCCGGGCGAUG